CUUUCGAAAGCUUUUGCAGCGGGGAAAAGGAGCUUCUUUGCCCAUUCAUUCUAGAUGUCAUUGGGUUGUGAAGAGGCGCUUGGUUGCGUUGAUGGUGUGUUGCCUGAGUUCCUUUUUCCAAACCUCAUGUUACAGAAGCAGCUACUCACGCGACUGUAGUCAACAGAAGCCUUCGAUACCAGCACCAUCUACGCAGUUUGUUCCUCGAUGCACCUGUACGUUCUUCCAUCCUUGCUUCUGUAUUUUCCUCCAAGCCGAGGUGUGUUUUGAAUGCCGCAUCAGUCACAUUGGGUGAAUCGUGCAAUGUCUAAUCUAGCGACCUACUUCUCGUGACGAUUUCAAUGAGGUGAAGUGGUAUGAGGCUGUACAGAGGUAUGAACUUCAGUUUGUGUGUCGGUGCUGUGUAUUGCCAUGCCUUAAAAUUCUCUGUUUACAAUUCACUACGAAACGCUUUGAUCAAUUAUGCAGUUAAAUACAAUGAGCUACUGCAAUAAUCUUUUAGUUACGUGACGGUGGUAGUUACAGUACUAAUUAGGCUCAUUUAUUCAAGGCACUAGUUUGUGUACUACCAAAUCACGUAUUUCUAUUUUUUAAUUGUAUUUUGGCACCAUAAUUUAGAUAGCAGGAUACAAAUCAAGCUAUUAAUGUGAUAUUAUGUUUUGCGCACUAAGGAGUUGGAGCAACUUUGAAACUGCACACACACAUCAUAAGGACAAGAGACAACUAAAGAUAAAUAAAAUGAUCAAUCUUCUAUUCCCAAAUGAAUUGCAGAAAAGACUCGGUGAUGAUGCACAAUUAGGUUAAUCCUCGCAAGGCACUCAGUUUCAAAUGCAAAACUUCUGAGGAUCGUGCCAAGUAAGGUUUCAGUGGAAGCUGAGGAUUCGAAAUACCGAAGACCACUGGAUGUUCCAUGCUAACUUUGGACUCGAUAAUUUCUCUUACUGUUGUGUUUUGAAACAGUGAGGCAAGGGGUUUACUUGUAUGGAGGAUAUGUCACUUCAUGAAAGACGCCUGCAAGCAAGGACUUGUUCGUGACGCCAGACGUCUUUAUGGUAGAAAAGAAUACUCGAUAAAUGCCCCACUUCUUGUGCAUCCGUGUGUGCGGUCAUCGAUGAGGGAUGAGCAUGUGCUGAUACUCUUUCAGGUAACUGUAACGGUUUCGAUCAAUUUCAGAUAUCAACGUGUCUGAUCACAAAUGGUUUGCUAGUAAUAGGACCUGAUUUGGGUGUGUUCUUGCCACUUUGUGAUCGAAACCGUGGGUCUAUGAGCUGAGACUGCCUUCGGCGGUGCCGUGAAGGGCUCCUUCUCACUUCUAUCAAUUCCAUGCAGAAGUCAUUCCGCAAGUAGUUUGAAAACGACUACCGAUUUGAGUAGUUGGUGGUUUCUCAAAUGUUCUCAGCUGUAUCCCCAGCGACAGCAGUCGCAAGUCUGGAAUGCUAAAUCAUCGGUUACUCUCAAGUUUUUCUUGCAGUGGCUUCGAAUUUCCUUUU